GCAGGCUGUAGCGCAGAGGUCGUCGCGCCACUUCGCGAAAUUGGAGGACGCCGGUUCGAAUCCGGCCGGUCUGCC
rnacentral:tRNA from 1 species